GAUGAACGCUGCCCGAAUGCUUAACACAUGCAAGUCUUUGGCGAAGCUGUGCUUGCACAGCCUAGCCAAGGCGGACGGGUGAGUAACGCGUAAGGAACUUGCCCUGCAGUCAGGGAUAACAGACGGAAACGACUGAUAAGACCUGGUAAAGUCAGGCGGACUCAUGUCCAGCCUGAUGAAAAGAGAUGCUGCAGGAGAGCCUUGCGUCCUAUUAGCUUGUUGGUGGGGUAACGGCCCACCAAGGCGAUGAUAGGUAGCCGGCCUGAGAGGGUGGACGGCCACAAGGGGACUGAGAUACGGCCCUUACUCCUACGGGAGGCAGCAGUGGGGAAUAUUGGAAAAUGGGGGCAACCCUGAUCCAGCAAUUCUGUGUGCAAGAUGAAGGUUUUCGGAUUGUAAAGUGCUUUCAGCAGGGAAAAAAAAAAUGACGGUACCUGCAGAAGAAGCGACGGCUAAAUACGUG
rnacentral:rRNA from 1 species